AUUCUUCAUCAGAUGCUGCCAUGAACAACAGGGUCCUUUGCUGUGUUGUCAUUUAUCUCAUCAGAGUUGGCCUCAAGGGUGCUUUGGUCACACAGUUCCCAAGACAAAGGAUCGUGGGGACAGAAAAGGAAUUAACCCUACAGUGUUUGCAGGAUAUGAACUAUGUCUUGAUGUACUGGUAUCGCCAAGACCCAGGAUCUGGACUGCGGCUGAUCGACUACUCAACUGGUGCCAGAAACUUUGAAAAAGGAGAUGUCCCUCGGGGGUAUCGUGUCUCUCGAAAAGAGUUGCAAUCUUUUUCCCUGACCCUGGAAUCUGCCAGCACCAACCAGACGUCUGUGUACCUCUGCACCAGCAGUGAGCCACAGCGUUGCAAAGACCUAUCUUCUCUGCACAAGAAAGGGGCAAGCCAAGGAGGAAGGGGACCUCGCCUUCAAGAGUCCUGA